AACGAACGCUGGCGGCAUGCCUAACACAUGCAAGUCGAACGAGACCUUCGGGUCUAGUGGCGCACGGGUGCGUAACGCGUGGGAACCUGCCCUUAGGUUCGGAAUAACUCCCCGAAAGGGGUGCUAAUACCGGAUAAUGUCUUCGGACCAAAGAUUUAUCGCCUUUGGAUGGGCCCGCGUUGGAUUAGCUAGUUGGUAGGGUAAAAGCCUACCAAGGCGACGAUCCAUAGCUGGUCUGAGAGGAUGAUCAGCCACACUGGGACUGAGACGCGGCCCAGACUCCUACGGGAGGCAGCAGUGGGGAAUAUUGGACAAUGGGCGAAAGCCUGAUCCAGCAAUGCCGCGUGAGUGAUGAAGGCCUUAGGGUUGUAAAGCUCUUUUACCCGGGAUGAUAAUGACAGUACCGGGAGAAUAAGCUCCGGCUAACUCCGU
rnacentral:rRNA from 1 species